ACUAAUCCAGUAAUCAAUAACCUCUCUAUGCAUUUCUUCCUCAUUGUAUUUGACUGAGUUUGAAUCAGUUCUUUUUGCAGGACGUGGUGAUGUCGGAAGAGCUUACGAAGGUCCUUGACGCCGCCAUCGGAACACGCCAUCGAAGCUUGCGGGGGAGGAGGUAGCUUGACGAGGGAAGAGGCAAGUGUGGUCUUCUCAGAUACUGUCGUCAUUAACUCCAUUCCGAAGAGGAAGGAGGAAGAAGAAGAGAAAGAGCGAGAAGAAGAGGAAGAUGCUGCCGGAGACGGUCACCCGUGGUGGUCGGAAAGUGUAGAUCUACAUAUGUAUUUUUAUAUUUAUAUAAGAAAAUUCAUAUGUAUAUUCCAUAAGUAUAUAUACAUGUAUUUAUACUUUGUAUUUCAUUUUGUAAUUAACUAAUAAAAAAAAUAUAUAAUUUUUUUUUUA